rnacentral:lncRNA from 1 species
ACUGUAUAAAAGAGAGUAUAAACUGUCAAGAGAGACAACCUCACACACUUCACUCAGAAUAAAAGAGGCUCACAUAAGUGAUCCCGCAACAUUAUGUCUCACAAAGUCUCCCCCAAACGAAACUCUCAAACCCCUAGGACUACAUUGUGAAUGCUACAAAACUAGAAGAAAGGAGUUUCUAUUUAUAGAGUUUAUAACAUUUUCCUACGAGAAUAAGGAUUAGCCAAAUAUGAAGAAUAUAUUUUCCUUUUCCCAAAAGGAAAAUCCAAUUAUGGUACCUAAAGGAAAACCCAAAUAUGGUAAGAAAGUCAAGAUAAAUACCAAUAAUUCUCUCCCUUGGCCUGAAUUUCUAUCUUUAUGUAGUCUUCAAUAAGUUCAAUUUCCUUCUCCAAAAUUUCCUCCAUUAAUUUUUGCUUCUACACAGAGUAACACUCUGAUAAAAUUUCUCAAAUUAAAAUCUUCAUUAUCGUCAAAUAGGUUGUGACUAGAACUGAAUCUGCCAAGAUGAACACCCGAUUUUAACCUCGCUUUGAUACCACUUGUCAGAACCGAAAUAAUCAGGUGUCAUGCGGAAGCUAGCAAAGCAAACCGCGAAAGACACCACAUAAGAAGAUAAACGAGAAAUUCACCAAAAGAGACAAUAAUUUAACGUAGUUCAGUCAGUCGACCUACAUCCACAAAAGGAGAUGAGCAAUCCACUAGAGACAACCUCACACAAUUCACUCAGAAUAAAAGACGCUCACACAAGUGAUCCCGCAACACUUGUGUCUCACAAAAUCUCUCCCCAAACGAAACUCUCAAACCCCUAGG